UACAGAGGGGGCUAGCGUUAUUCGGAAUUAUUGGGCGUAAAGGGCGCGUAGGCGGUGUGUCAAGUCAGGCGUGAAAUCCCCGGGCUCAACCCGGGAACUGCGUCCGAUACUGGAAGGCUUGAAUCCGGGAGAGGGGGGUGGAAUUCCAGGUGUAGCAGUGAAAUGCGUAGAGAUCUGGAGGAACACCGAUGGCGAAGGCAGCCCCCUGGGCUAACACUGACGCUCAUGCACGAAAGCGUGGGGAGCAAACAGG
rnacentral:rRNA from 1 species